rnacentral:sRNA from 12 species
AUUUGCCGUCUAUGGUGCGGGUAUCGGAAACGACCCGGGCGCCUCAUAUUGAGCGUUAGGACACCUUACGACGGCUUUUUU